rnacentral:rRNA from 1 species
AACGAACGCUGGCGGCAGGCCUAACACAUGCAAGUCGAGCGAGGACUUCGGUCCUAGCGGCGGACGGGUGAGUAACGCGUGGGAACGUGCCCUUUGCUUCGGAAUAGCCCUGGGAAACUGGGAGUAAUACCGGAUGAGCCCUUGGGGGGAAAGAUUUAUCGGCGAAGGAUCGGCCCGCGUUGGAUUAGGUAGUUGGUGGGGUAAUGGCCUACCAAGCCGACGAUCCAUAGCUGGUUUGAGAGGAUGAUCAGCCACACUGGGACUGAGACACGGCCCAGACUCCUACGGGAGGCAGCAGUGGGGAAUCUUAGACAAUGGGGGAAACCCUGAUCUAGCCAUGCCGCGUGAGCGAUGAAGGCCUUAGGGUUGUAAAGCUCUUUCAGCUGGGAAGAUAAUGACGGUACCAGCAGAAGAAGCCCCGGCUCACUCCGUG